CAUUACCCUUCGCCUCGCGAGUUACAAGUUGUAGCUCGCCACAGCGAGCAACCUUACUCGCCAUAGCGAGCAUGACCAGAGAGCAUGUUGAUUUUCGUAUUUUGGACUUUUGAGUUGAACCUUAGAUGUUUUUGAGUACCUUUAGAUGUUUACUAAAGAUUAGAGGAUGAUUUAGAACAAGAUUGAACCUGGAACAACCUUAGUUGGGAAUCUGGCUUGUACUCGCCAUGGCGAGCAAAUGCUCUCGCCUCGCGAGCACUUCCAGAA
rnacentral:lncRNA from 1 species